rnacentral:rRNA from 1 species
CAGCAGCCGCGGUAAAACGAAGGGUGCAAGCGUUAAUCGGAAUUACUGGGCGUAAAGCGUGCGUAGGCGGUGAGUUAAGUCUGCUGUGAAAUCCCCGGGCUCAACCUGGGAAUGGCAGUGGAUACUGGCUCGCUAGAGUGUGUCAGAGGAUGGUGGAAUUCCCGGUGUAGCGGUGAAAUGCGUAGAGAUCGGGAGGAACAUCAGUGGCGAAGGCGGCCAUCUGGGACAACACUGACGCUGAGGCACGAAAGCGUGGGGAGCAAACAGGAUUAGAUACCCGCGUAGUCCCUGUCUCUUAUAA